rnacentral:rRNA from 1 species
AUUGAACGCUGGCGGCACGCCUAACACAUGCAAGUCGAGCGGUAACAUGAUCUGUAGCAAUACAGAUUGAUGACGAGCGGCGGACGGGUGAGGAACACGUAGGAAUCUACCUUAGAGAGGGGGACAACCAAGGGAAACUUUGGCUAAUACCGCAUAAUCUCGAGAGAGAAAAGCUGCCCGCAAGGGGGGCGCUUUAAGAGGAGCCUGCGUCCGAUUAGCUAGUUGGUGAGGUAAAGGCUCACCAAGGCGAUGAUAGGUAACUGGUCUGAGAGGACGACCAGUCACACUGGGACUGAGACACGGCCCAGACUCCUACGGGAGGCAGCAGUGGGGAAUCUUGGACAAUGGGGGCAACCCUGAUCCAGCGAUGCCGCGUGGGUGAAGAAGGCCUUCGGGUUGUAAAGCCCUUUAGGUUGGGAAGAAGGUUAGUCGUUUAAGAGAUAGCUAACUUGACUGUACCGACAGAAUAAGCACCGGCAAACUCUGUGCCAGCAGCCGCUGUAACAC